rnacentral:rRNA from 1 species
UACGUAGGGUGCAAGCGUUGUCCGGAAUUAUUGGGCGUAAAGAGCUCGUAGGCGGUUCGUCGCGUCGGCUGUGAAAUCCCGAGGCUCAACCUCGGGUCUGCAGUCGAUACGGGCGGACUGGAGUUCGGCAGGGGAGACUGGAAUUCCUGGUGUAGCGGUGAAAUGCGCAGAUAUCAGGAGGAACACCGAUGGCGAAGGCAGGUCUCUGAGCCAUAACUGACGCUGAGAAGCGAAAGCAUGGGGAGCGAACAGG